CAUGGAUGAAGAAAAGCCUGAAGUCUGACUUUCACUUCCACUUCUGUCACACAAGGGGGGAAAAACAACUGUCAGCAUAUUUACAAGACAAUCUUGUGACUAAGCUGAGCCUGCUGGGACUGAACACAUCCCUCUGCAACUGGAUCCUGAACUUCCUGAACGGGAGACCUCGGUCAGUCCGGAUCGGGAACGGCAUCUCCAGCAACACCACAUUGAGCACCGGAGCACCUCAGGGCUGCAUGCUCAGCCCACUGCUGUUCAUGUCAGAGAAGGCAGGGAUAAAAGCAGACCCAAAUGCAGGGAUACCAAGAUAAAAACAGAUUUAUUAACAAAACAUAAAAAUAAAUACAUGGAACAACCCGACAAACAAACGCUGACUCUGCGAAGCUAACCACAAAGUGGAGGAAAUAAAUAUACUUAAUUAAACCAAUAACAAACAGGUGAGUAAGAUGAGUCUCGUGACAGAAAACACUGCAGGAACGCCCCACGAAUUUUACGGCAGAGAAUGUCCAAGCAGAAGUCCUGACAGUUUACCUUGCUGACUGUACAGCAAUGCACAGAUCGAACCAUAUCAUCGAGUUCGCUGAAGACACAACCGUGGUGGGUCUCAUCAGCAAGAACGACGAGUCAGCAUACAGAGAGGAGGUGCAACAGCUAACUGCCUGAUGUAGAGCCAACAACCUGUCUCUGAAUGUUGAUAAAACUAAAAAAUGGUUGUUGACUUCAGAAGAGCACAAAGCGACCACUCUGCUGAACAUCGACAGAUCCUUUGGUAUCGUCAAGAGCGCCAAAUUUCUUGGUGUUCAUCAAGCGGAGAACUUCACCUGGUCACUCAACAUCAGCCUUAUCUCCUUCUUACAGUACAUCUGAGAAAAGCCCAUCUAUCUCCCUACCCAUCCUAAUUACGUUUUACAGAGGGACCAUUGAAAGCAUCCUGAGCAGCUGCAUCACUGUCUGGUUUGGGAACUGCACCAUCUUGGAUCGCAGGAUGAUGCAGAGGACAGCUGAGAAGAUUAUUGGAGUCUCUCUUCCCUCUAUCACACACAUUUACACUGCACGCUGCAUCCGCAAAGCCAACAGCAUUGUAGAUGACCCCACACACCCCUCACAGACACUCUUCAACCUACUGCCGUACUGUACAGAGAACAAUACACACACACAUACACACAUGCGCACACAACUGUAUGGAUUGCAAUGACCUACAACAAACACACACUCUUCCAAUAUACAUCCAUGUAUUCAGCACCACCCAUAUCAAACUCUUUACAUUCUGUCUUGCACAUUUCCGUCAACUGAUGUUUUGCUCAAUACCUCAUAUAACUGCUGCUACUAUAUUAAGUGUUCAUUCCAGUAUUUCUGCACAUAAAACACAUAGUGCUAUAGAAUAUACAGUAUGUACACUGGUCAGCACUGCUUUUGUGUAUUGUAUUAUGUGAUGGCUUGGAUUGUUGCACAGAUGCUCUUUAUGUGGAUAGGACUAACUUAAGUCCUUAGCUCUCUCUUUGUUUUAUUUUGCACCCUGGUCCUGGAGAAACGUUGUCUUAUUUCACUGUGUACUGCAUCAGCUAUAUAUGGUUGAAAUGACAAAAGCUUCUUGACAUAUGGGUGUGAUUAAUGAUGAAGAUAAUUAAAACAUCUGUUGGGGAUGACAACCUAAAAACAGACAGCUCAAGGAGUAUUAAAUACUGUGUGCCUACAAACAUAGCUAGUUUUGUUUUGAUUAAUUUUGUUUGUAUGUUUUUCCUACAAGCUUUAGAAUAUAAAUGGGUAUUAUCUGAUAAUUGCACUUGUACAAACAUUUUCUUAUAGAAAACCGUGACUCUGGUCUUUUAGCAAUAUACAGUUGGAUGUUUCCUCUGUAUGCCAUCAUAAUGGAUUUGAAAUAAAGCAUUCCAAAUGUGA